rnacentral:rRNA from 1 species
GAUGAACGCUGGGAGCGUGCCUCAUACAUGCAAGUCGAGCGAACAGAUAAGGAGCUUGAUCCUUUGACGUUAGCGGCGGACGUGUGAGUAACACGUGGGUAAACUAUCUAUAAGACUGGAAUAACUCGGGGAAACCGUGGCUAAUGCCGGAUAACAUUUAGAACCGCAUGGUUCUGAAGUGAAAGAUGGUUUUGCUAUCACUUCUAGAUGGACCCGAGUCGUAUUAGAUUGUUGGUAAUGUACCGGCUUAACAAGGCAACUAUACGUAGCCGACCUGAGAGAGUGCUCGGCGACACUGGAAUUGAGACACGGUCCAGACUCCUACUGGAGGCAGCAGUAGGGAAUCUUCCGCAAUGGGCGAAAGCCGGACGGAGCAACGCCGCGUGAGUUAUGAAGGUAUUCGGAUCGUAAAACUCUGUUAUUAUGGAAGAACAAAUGUGUAAGUAACUGUGCACGUAUUGACGGUACCUAAUCAGAAAGCCACGGCUAACUACGUG